rnacentral:lncRNA from 1 species
ACCGCCGCCUCCUUCUCCUUUCUUCUCCCAUAGCGCUAAAGGAAAAAAAGAAGGAAUAAAAGGUUAAAAGAACUCUAGAACCCCCCUCUUUACUCACGUUUCUUCUGUUUUCGCCUAGAUAUGGACAGGCAUGUCAUCGGAGGAUGCUCCGACGAGUCCUUCGGUGACAUGCAAACCCCGAUCUGUAGUUCUCGAGUUUUAUGUUUGUGUUUAAAAAGCUUUUCUGACUUUUGUUGUUUUAUUUUGUUCCCCUUAUUUAGGGGUUUGGAAUCGAUGGAGCGAGAGAAGAAGCAGGAAACAGAUGGAAGGAAAAAAACAAAAGUCGCCGCCCAUGACGGAUGCGCCGACAUUAGAAGAGGCGGACGAGAAAUGUAAAAAAAUCUCAGCUCUUUGUUUAUUCUAGUUUUGCUUGGUAGAUUUUGGUUGUUUUGUUGUUGGCUAGGUUGCUUAAAACAUGAAAAAAUAAUUGACUGGUUUGUUGUUGAAGUUGGACUAGUAGUCUAAAUGUUUGUGCAAACAAUUUUCAGUUUGAAAACUUCGGUCGUUGUACUACUUCUGAUAAAAUUCCAGCAAGAAUAUUUUACAGAAAAUUCAUAUUUUAGAUCGAUUGUGGUAUCAUACUACGAAUAGCCUUAUAAUUCUUGAGUCCUUGGUGCAAAUGGUGUAAAAAAUUAUGACAGAUGGUCUUUUAGUCCGUUGUUAAUAUAUUUCUAACAACUUUUAAUUAUUUUAGGAUGUUUAUUUUACUGUUUAGUCCAAUGUUUGUUAAAAUGAAUCAUUUAUCCUUUUUCUUUGUAAUGAAAAUUAGAUUAGGAGAGGCUUUAAAUGAUAUAGCAUAACAAACACAUUCGUAUGCAGGAGCCGAGACUGUGGGUGAUAUGUGAGUUAUCGAGAAUAGGGAUGUUUGUGAAGGGUAUACCUUUAAUACGAGGCUUUUUGUCGUGUUUUAGGUGGCGGCGCCUAUCUUCGUCUCCUAACUUUUUGGACAAAUCCUCCUUUGGCGGCUUCUGCGUGGAUGACGACAAAAAUAUUUGUAAUUUUCAGUUUUAGUUUUUUGUAGUGUUUAUUGUUAUUUGGGACUUUAUAGAUUGAUUUGUGUAUUAUUCUAGAAGGUUUUGGGGAGAAUUGGGGAAGUUGGUAGGAAUUCUAAUCUUUUUUUUUGCAUCCAAACUUUCUGCCAUUUUUCUGUGGUCCUGGCUGUCCAUUUAAAUGUAAACAUGACUACCACCUCCCUUCUAAACUAACAAAAAUUUUACAACGUAUUCUCACACAAAAGGGAGGUGGCACCUCCCUAAUUAAUAUCAGUAACGGGCCUGCAAGCAGGCCCAAAAUCAAAUUGGGCCAAAAUGCAUAAGCCGUCGCAAACGCCCAUCGAUCCUCG